AGAGCGAACGCUGGCGGCAUGCUUAACACAUGCAAGUCGCACGGGCAGUAGCAAUAUUGUCAGUGGCGGACGGGUGAGUAACGCGUAGGAAUUUAUCUUUGGAUGGGGGACGAACCGUGGGAAACGUAACGGCUAAUAACCGCAUGAUGCCUGAGGGCCGAAAGACUUGCAAGAGCGUCUGAAGAGAAGCCUGCGUCUGAUUAGCUAGUUGGUGGGGUAAAGGGACCGUACCAA
rnacentral:rRNA from 1 species